rnacentral:lncRNA from 1 species
ACCUCACCGCCAUUAGUUUAUCUUCCCCCAAAGUUAAAAAAGUAGUGCUAAUACCAACAGAAUCUUCUGGUAACCGCAGAGUGAAACAACUAGCUCAGAGUACGAUGUCUGCAUCUUGCUAUUUCCUUUUUCUUCUUUGUUGUGCCAGAGUGAAUUGAUGACGGGGUGAUGCAAUUACAAUUGGUGCAUUUCAGCAAAUCAGCACAAUCGCUUUAUUCCCUUGUUUUUCUUUUCUUUUCUUUUAUCAUGGCAUUAUCCGAAGAGGAGAGAAAAGGGAGAUGAUGAUGAUAGCUAGGUUCAGGGUUGGCAAAAUCGUUGAUGCAUAUUUAAUAUGAU